AGGAUAAGGAUGAAGCUACAUAUAUGCAUAUUCCAACACUUGGACUGAGAGAUUUGUUCUCACAAGAUUAUUAUCUUUUGCUUCUGAAUCUUU